rnacentral:misc_RNA from 1 species
GAUGAAGAUCGUAGCGAAAUGCGAUAAGUAAUGUGAAUUGCAGAAUUCAGUGAAUCAUCGAAUCUUUGAACGCACAUUGCGCCCCCUGGUAUUCCGGGGGGCAUGCCUGUCCGAGCGUCAUUACAACCCUCAAGCUCAGCUUGGUGUUGGGCCCCGCCGCCCCGGCGGGCCCUAAAGUCAGUGGCGGUGCCGUCCGGCUCCGAGCGUAGUAAUUCUUCUCGCUCUGGAGGUCCGGUCGUGUGCUCGCCAGCAACCCCCAAUUUUUUUCAGGUUGACCUCGGAUCAGGUAGGGAUACCCGCUGAACUUAAGCAUAUCAAUAAGCGGAGGA